rnacentral:rRNA from 1 species
AGAUAAUAGAUACCCAGGUAGUCCUGGCCGUAAACGAUGACCACCCAGAUGCAUGAAAGAUUCGACCCUUUGUGUGUCCAAGCUAACGCGCUAAGUGGUCCGCCUGGAGAGUACGGUCGCAAGAUUAAAACUCAAAGGAAUUGACGGGGACCCGCACAAGCAGCGGAGCGUGUGGUUUAAUUCGAUGCGACGCGAAGAACCUUACCAGGGUUUGACAUGGAUCCGUACCGCCUUGAAAGAGGCAUUCCCGUAAGGGACGUAUCCACAGGUGCUGCAUGGCUGUCGUCAGCUCGUGCCGUGAGGUGUUGGGUUAAGUCCCAUAACGAGCGCAACCCCUAUCGUUCAUUGUAUGUUUUGAACGAAACUGCCGCCACAAGGCGGAGGAAGGUGGGGAUGACGUCGAGUCAGCACGGCCCUUACAUCCUGGGCGACACACACGCUACAAUGGUCGGUACAGAGGGAAGCCAACCCGCGAGGGGGAGCCAAUCUCAUAAAACCGAUCUCAGUUCGGAUGGCAGGCUGCAACCCGCCUG